AGCGAACGCUGGCGGCAGGCCUAACACAUGCAAGUCGAACGAACCCUUCGGGGUUAGUGGCGGACGGGGGAGUAACACGUGGGAACGUGCCUUUAGGUUCGGAAUAACUCAGGGAAACUUGUGCUAAUACCGAAUGUGCCCUUCGGGGGAAAGAUUUAUCGCCUUUAGAGCGGCCCGCGUCUGAUUAGCUAGUUGGUGAGGUAAUGGCUCACCAACGCUACGAUCAGGAGCUGGUCCGAGAAGAUGACCAGCCAAAUUGGGACUGAGACAAGGCCCAAACUUCUACGGGAGGCAGCAGUAGGGAAUUUUGCGCAAUGGGCGAAAGCCUGACGCAGCCAUGCCGCGUGGAUGAUGAAGGUCUUAGGAUUGUAAAAUCCUUUCACCGGUGAAGAUAAUGACUGUAGCCGGAGAAGAAGCCCCGGCUAACUUCGUGCCAGCAGCCGCAGUAACAC
rnacentral:rRNA from 1 species